GGUGCCGACAUGUAUGGAGAGAGACAGCGGAGAUCCUUCCCUCACCCCUUCUCUCGCGACAAUGGAGUCCUAGCGAUGGUGAUCCGUCCCCAUAUCUUGCCGCUGGAUUCUCUUCACCGCGUAGCCAGAUCCUGUUUCACAUCCGCACGGCUGCUCGAUAGGAUUUUCAGAGUGAGGACAGAGUUUUGGACAGUAAAGCAUGCCUUCAGUUCUAUGCCAAGCAAGAUUAUGGGGUCAAGACCAGAGGAAGGAAGUGGAUGAGGCAAAAGUCUGCAGCUGGGACGACGGCGAAGCGGAAGGAGGGUGGCGACUUAUAGAAAUCUCUAUGGAAUAAGAGGAGUGUGGGGCGGCCAGCGUGAGGCCCUGCAUCAUAUUAGCACUCAUCUCUCUAC